rnacentral:lncRNA from 1 species
ACUUACCUGGUCGAGAUAGAGACUGCAUGCAACAUAAGAGAUUGAGCGAGACUGCAAAUGAAAUUGUGAUACUAUGAGGAUUGGUCCAAGAAAUUUAGGGUUGAUGUGCAAUCUAAAGAGGUGUGGAAAUGGUUGCAUGAGAGGGAAGAGGUGCAAAGGGGAGAAGUAGUUGAAUCGAUGUGUUUUGACUGUCGCCGUACUUGUUUGGCUCUUCACGAUUUAUGACACACUGAAUUUAUAUGUAUUCGAUUUGAGAUUUUGUUGUUAGGGUUUGUGGUUUUCCGAUUAUUCACCGCGGACCUAUGUUAGGGCCUAGGUUUCCAACGGCCCACCCCAAAAAAAAUCAUUGUGAUACUAUGAGGAUUGGUCCAAGAAAUUUAGGGUUGAUGUGCAAUCUAAAGAGGUGUGGAAAUGGGUGCACGAGAGGGAAGAGGUUCAAAGGGGAGAAGUAGUUGAAUCGUUGUGUUUUGAUUGUCG